UACAGAGGUCUCAAGCGUUGUUCGGAUUCAUUGGGCGUAAAGGGUGCGUAGGCGGCGAGGUAAGUCAGAUGUGAAAUCCCGGGGCUUAACCCCGGAACUGCAUUUGAUACUGCUUUGCUUGAGGACUGGAGAGGAGAUCGGAAUUCACGGUGUAGCAGUGAAAUGCGUAGAUAUCGUGAGGAAGGCCAGUGGCGAAAGCGGCUUCCUGGUCCGACACCGACGUUCAGGCACGAAAGCGUGGGGAGCAAACAGG
rnacentral:rRNA from 1 species